GACGAACGCUGGCGGCGUGCUUAACACAUGCAAGUCGAACGGAAAGGCCCUGCUUUUGUGGGGUGCUCGAGUGGCGAACGGGUGAGUAACACGUGAGUAACCUGCCCUUGACUUUGGGAUAACUUCAGGAAACUGGGGCUAAUACCGGAUAGGAGCUCCUGCUGCAUGGUGGGGGUUGGAAAGUUUCGGCGGUUGGGGAUGGACUCGCGGCUUAUCAGCUUGUUGGUGGGGUAGUGGCUUACCAAGGCUUUGACGGGUAGCCGGCCUGAGAGGGUGACCGGCCACAGUGGGACUGAGAUACGGCCCAGACUCCUACGGGAGGCAGCAGUGGGGAAUAGUGCACAAUGGGCGGAAGCCUGAUGCAGCAACGCCGCGUGCGGGAUGACGGCCUUAGGGUUGUAAACCGCUUUCGCCUGUGACGAAGCGUGAGUGACGGUAAUGGGUAAAGAAGAACCGGCUAACUAAGUG
rnacentral:rRNA from 1 species